UAGAGAGGUUAUUUGGGCCAAGUUUGAAGAUUGCAACCCGGGAGCAUAGCUUCAAGUUGCCCUGAACAUAGGAUUUGCAACAGUGACAAAGGUGAGGCCAGAGAAGUGACAAGACAGAUGCCAGUCCAGCAGGUGGGCAUGUCCAGAAAGUGCAGCCUCAGGACACGGUCUGGGAACAAAGACUGCUGGAGAGUUGGAAGCUGGCAAGAGGCUCUCAGCUGUGAAGUACCUGGGGUGGGGGAGAAGUGGUCGGAGAAAGCAGAGAACACAAUUGAAGGCACUGGUUAUUCUAGCAAGGCUUUGACUGGAAUGGCAUAUUUUCAGAUAUGACCAGACUGCUCUGAGGAAUUCAGGUUGGCUUUAUAGAGUCAAUAAAAAGCUACCUGGAAAGAGUGGCCAUGUACCUUAUCUAUACAGUUCCCUUACAAGGUUCCUGAUCUUGAGACAUUUGGCUUCACUUGAACCUGUGUUUGAAGCUUUAGUGAACAUUGUCUUUGGGAGUAAGAAGUACUAGAAAAUUUAUGGUCUCAUGGAACAAGGAAAUCAAAAAAACACCCGCCCGUGCACAAAUGGAUUUCCUGAACCCUUCUGUGCGCCAGUCCUUGGGGACGCAAAUGUGAAUGAGGCGGCGCUCUGUUGAAUUUCCGUGCCCAAACUCACCAACGUGCACAGAUACUGAUGUGGGAACACCCGCUAUAAGGUGGCCUGGAGCAGUGAAGACCCUGCUCUCUUGUGAACUCCCGCAACCAUGGCCAGCCCCCUGGGGCUCCCAGACCUUGGCAAUCAGCCCUUGUGGUUUUUAAAAAAUUUAUUUUUAUUUUUAUUUUUAGAGGCAGGGUCUCAUUAUGUCACCCA
rnacentral:lncRNA from 1 species